ACGUUGCAGUCACCGUGCGCGGAGGUGCUGAUUUAAUCAUGUGAAAAGCGUCUCCUAAAUUCAGCGACAGCUCCAGUGUGAAGGAGUGCAGUGUUGCAUCUGAAAUGAAAUGCUCAGGAAGAUGAAUGAACAGCCCUUGCAAUAAGUAGAUACAGAGACUUCUCCGAGAGGUGGUGCAUCCUGGACUUGAUAUUCCUGCUUUCUCAUGAAAACAGCCUCUGGAUAAUCUCAAGACCUGAGCAGGUAGCAAAGGGCUUAAUUCAGAAGGCAAAGGGAGCUGUGAGUCCCAGCUGCUGCUGCUGGCAUAACCUCUUUUGGGAAAAGUCUUUCGUUUAAAGGACAUCUCUGCAAAUCAAGAAAUGAGAGUUUUGUUAUCAGCUGUGCCAGACACCAAAGAAAAAGUCAUUUUGUCCAGACACUUGAAGACUUACUUGAAGCUGCCAUGUUAAGGAAAUUGCCUCGACUUCACUGAUUCUUUGCUAUGAAGUUCAACCAGCAGCCACUGUGUUACGGGGGAAAUGGAUGCUGUGUGGCCAUUACAGGAAGACAGGACUUUGACCUGACACAUGUUUCUACUUCCACUGUCAAGAACAGCGAGCAGCACUUCUGUUUAUGCCUUUCCCAGCCAUUUGUGGUUGUACAGCACGCUGUCCACCUUGGCCCCAGCCAUCUCUCUCCAGACUGAAGUGUCCCAGUCUGUUUAAUAAUAGAUUGCUGCUAAACUUAACCAUUGCUGCUGGAAGAAGUGCAACAAAAAAGAUAAAACAUUGCAAAAGGUUUCCAAGCAAGCUCUAUGGUGAAUCAUAGCUGCCAUGAGGAAGAUCUAGAAAAGACAGGAAAAGCUCCAAAAGGAAAAACAAACAAACAGACAAACAAAACAGGGGGAAAACCCCUGCUAGAAGGAGUUGCAGUAAUUCUGGAACUAAAUGCUGCAGAGGGGAACAGCCAAGAAGGAUGAAGAAAGGUUUCCCGAGGCCUCGGGGUGAGCAGUGAGGAUGGUAUGAUGAAGAAAGAAUGUGCUGGAGAUCCCUGGCUUCACCUCCUACCUUUCCUUCUGGUCACAGAGUGUCCCUGAGGAGGCGCACUGACAGAAGGCUGAGGUUUCAGCAACGUGCUGUCCCUACAGGCUUUGAAAAAAUAAGGGACAAAGUAGAGAAGAACGACCUUCUUAGCUUCUCCACCAAAGGAGUGCCUACAAAAGCUGGGCUGCUGUUUGGCAGCAGAAAACCCACACGGACGAGACCCUCCUCGGGCCUCAUUGCUUCUGCUCCAUAGGGACUCGCUCAGCUUAUGUGGAGGUGAAUUGGGAUGAAAGGAUGUGCAAAAGAGGUGGAAACCCAAGGAAGACAUUGGCCGAGGAGAGCUUCAUUUCCUGCCUGCCAAGAAGGAGGGAGAGCAGCAACGCUUUAGGAGUAACUGAGGUGUGGGUAAGGGAAGGAGACAAGGUAUCUCAAAUUGAUCUCCACUGCAAAUUCAGAACUGAGACCUCAAAGUUUUGCCUGGUAUAUACCAAGUUCUGCAUAUUAUAUUUGA